rnacentral:lncRNA from 1 species
GCUUCCUGUCUGCGACUGCCUUCAUGUUGGUGAUUUGUGUUAAAUUGACAACAUAUAGUAUGGCUACAGCCUCAGGUGGAUCAGGACAAGAUUCAUCCCCCUGAACAGCUUUCACAAGCGCUGAAGAGGCUGCUGUGCGGGGGAGGUGUUCCCUUCUUUGAAUGUGUGGGGUUACAAGUGGCUUUCCCAGCUGCUCCAGGAACACCCUCCUCUUGUUCCACUUAUCAGGCAUCCAGGCAGGUUUUCUGUUGGUGAAAUUCCUGAUGAUUUGAGGCGUUCCAAGCGUGCGCUGGGUGCUGAUGUUCCCGACGGAACAUUGGAGUGCAGGCUGGCAACCGCAGAGGAUUCUGGGAUAAUGGAUUGGUGUGGAUGGAGGUCAGGAGGGGAAGUUUUCCCUGUUUUCUCUUCUCCUCCUCUAUAACUGAACCUACAGUUAGUCUGUCUGGACAUUCAUCUCUGGAAGCUUCCCUUUUCCCCUAACGUAAACAACAUGGGGCACCAGAAGUCUUUCAAUGGAUAAGAUGGUCACAGUCUGGAGUUCAUUCGAAUCCGCCAAUGCUACGUUUACACAGUAAUGUACUGCUGCCUGCAAACACGCUUCUAUUCGAUGGACUAUUUAUUCCUUUGAGUGACCAAGUCACUCACUUUACUAUAUAUUUGUAAAUACAGUGUAUUAAAGUCCAUUAUUAAUACAUACUACCUCUCUUAUUACUUCUAGUACUUGUUAAUUUUGACUACACUCUUUUUAUUGUUAUUGACUAAUGUACUGCACUUCUUGUACCUGCAGUAAACUGUAUAUGUGACAAAUAAAAUUUGAUUUGAUUUCUUGUUCCCG